rnacentral:rRNA from 1 species
UUAAUGGAGAGUUUGAUCCUGGCUCAGGACAAACGCUGGCGGCGUGCUNNNNNNNNNNNNNNNNNNNNNNNNNNNNNNNNNNNNNNNNNNNNNNNNNNNNNNNNNNUGAGUAACNNNUAGGCAACCUGCCUCCAAGAUGGGGACAACAUCUCGAAAGGGGUGCUAAUACCGAAUGUUGUAAAGCGAUUGCAUAAUGGCUUUACCAAAGGCGGCUUUUAGCUGUCGCUUGGAGAUGGGCCUACGUCUGAUUAGCUAGUUGGUGACGGUAACGGCGCACCAAGGCAACGAUCAGUAGCCGGUCUGAGAGGAUGGACGGCCACAUUGGGACUGAGACACGGCCCAAACUCCUACGGGAGGCAGCAGUGGGGAAUCUUCCGCAAUGGGCGAAAGCCUGACGGAGCAACGCCGCGUGAACGAGGAAGGUCUUCGGAUCGUAAAGUUCUGUUGCAGGGGACGAAUGGCAGUAGUGUUAAUACCACUAUUGAAUGACGGUACCCUGUUAGAAAGCCACGGCUAACUACGUGCCAGCAGCCGCGGUAAUACGUAGGCGGCAAGCGUUGUCCGGAAUUAUUGGGCGUAAAGGGAGCGCAGGCGGAUGACUAAGCGGAUCUUAAAAGUGCGGGGCUCAACCCCGUGAUGGGAUUCGAACUGGUCAUCUUGAGUGCAGGAGAGGAAAGCGGAAUUCCCAGUGUAGCGGUGAAAUGCGUAGAUAUUGGGAAGAACACCAGUGGCGAAGGCGGCUUUCUGGACUGUAACUGACGCUGAGGCUCGAAAGCCAGGGUAGCGAACGGGAUUAGAUACCCCGGUAGUCCUNGCCGUAAACGAUGGAUACUAGGUGUAGGGGGUAUUGACCCUNCCUGUGCCGGAGUUAACGCAAUAAGUAUCCCGCCUGGGGAGUACGGCCGCAAGGCUGAAACUCAAAGGAAUUGACGGGGGCCCGCACAAGCGGUGGAGUAUGUGGUUUAAUUCGNNGCAACGCGAAGAACCUUACCAGGGCUUGACAUUGAUUGACGUAUGCAGAGAUGCAUAUUUUCUCUUCGGAGGACAAGAAAACAGGUGGUGCAUGGCUGUCGUCAGCUCGUGUCGUGAGAUGUUGGGUUAAGUCCCGCAACGAGCGCAACCCCUAUCAUUUGUUGCCAGCACGUCAAGGUGGGAACUCAAAUGAGACUGCCGCGGAUAACGCGGAGGAAGGCGGGGAUGACGUCAAGUCAUCAUGCCCCUUACGUCCUGGGCUACACACGUACUACAAUGGGAUACACAGAGGGAAGCGAAGGAGUGAUCUGGAGCGGAACCCAAAAAAUAUCCCCCAGUUCGGAUUGCAGGCUGCAACUCGCCUGCAUGAAGUCGGAAUCGCUAGUAAUCGCAGGUCAGCAUACUGCGGUGAAUACGUUCCCGGGCCUUGUACACACCGCCCGUCACACCACGAAAGUCAUCCACACCCGAAGCCGGCUAAGGGCCGCAAGGAACCGACCGUCUAAGGUNGGGGCGAUGACCGGGG